UGUGUGUGUGUUUAUAGACAAUUUUCACUUGGCAAAGAUCAGUUUUGUCUAUUUUUACAAGGACGACAGAUUGAAAAGAACAAUUUCAACCAUUGUAAUGUUUCACAAUAGUGUCGGGUAAUGUCAUUCACGUGUGAAACAUUUCGUGAAAAUCGUUAGAUCCGUUUGGCUUAUGUGCAAUAUUUACAGUGCCGGCUAUACAGUUAUUAUCGUAUUUUAAAUGGCAUUUUCUGUCAAAAUUAUGGCACAUAACCACUAAACACCUCCAUCGCUGUCCUAAUGUCGGUCCAUGAUUACACUUGCACUGAAGGUGGUAGAGUAGAGUGAUGUGAGUAACAGUUUCAAAAAUAUCCAUUAAAUAAUACACGUAUCGCGAGAAAAUAGCCAGAGGAGUUGUUUUAUUACCAACCUACACCAAGCCGUGAGUACCGAGUGCAUCAGACUGGAAUCAGCUAAAGUCGGUAGCACUCGGUUAUUUCCGACUCCUUUAAUAAAGCCUUUGGCCUGGGUACACGACUCAAAGUGAGGUGUAUGUUGAAGGAAACAGAUUUUUUUCCGGACAUUUGCCACCGUUCAGUGAUACACAAAAUCAGUAACACUAUAUUUCGAGAUCUGCAAUCUGAUCUCUUCUUCGGGUAACUAACUUAACACAUAAUUACAAACUAGAUUUAAAUUAAAAGGGCCGUUUUUUGGUAGUUUUAGUAUUUCAAAGACGACACCUUUGAUAUUUCUCUAAUUCUUUAAGGAGGUGUAAACCUACGUUUCUAAGGCUUGUUUCUUCAGGCACACCGUAACCUUUCUUUAUCUCUUGUUUCUUGUUUCUCUUGAAAACGUCUCGAUUCAUACGUCUACCACAUUAACGUUUAUAUUACAUCGGAAAUAAUCUUUUACUGUUUGGGUAGUAUUCAUCCAUAUAUUAGAGUAAAAGAAAAUAUAUUGCGUGUUACUGUGGAUUGUUGUAUUGAAGCUUAUAGAGAAAGCAGUUUUCUGUUUAAAAUUUAAGCUUUCUCCAAUUUAACUCAUCAUUAUUCAAAAAGUAAUGAGAGAAAAAACAUUUUUGUAUAGCAUACAGCAGAAUUCUUAUUGAAUGUCUCUUCAAGAACGAUAUAGCAACAAUUAACAGUUCUAAGUCAACAAUUAAAUGCCGUCAGGGAUCUUCAUUAGAAAAAUAAUUUGUAGUCUCUGGCCGAGACGAUUCCUGAAAUAUAAUUGAGAUGUUGUAUAUUCUUUCUGAACUUUACUGUAAAGAAUAAACGCAUUAUAACACAGCUAUCCACUAUAAAAUAGAAUAUUCUCAACCAUCACCUUCUUGAUUUCAACCCCAUCUCAAAAACAGAUCUUUGAUCGAACCGAUCAGUCCCUUCAAUAAUUUUUGUGUGCUCUACAAUUGGUUUAGGACAAUUUACAGAUAUUUUCUCACCAGUUCUUAGAUUUCUCUUAGACUGCACAAUUUUAUUUGGCAUAAGCAAGCUGUAGGGAAAAUUUGCACUUGCUGUAUCUCCUCACUUGCCAUAAUAGCUAAUGCAAUCUUUGAGUAACAAAAUUGAUGAUGUCUUCUCAAUUUUUUACUUCUCUUUAGAAACAAGCGGUAAACCAACAGCUGCACACGUACAGCCCCGGUGAAAAAUACAUAUUUUUCUAAAAGGUUUUCUAUUAUAUAUUAUAUAUAAUUAUAGAAAUUAUCAAAAGCUCCAUGACACUUUUCACCAUGUCUUUCGGAAUCAGAAGGGUUUUCAAUUGAGUUUUGAAUUGUUUUCCAUUUUGUUGUUUGGUGUGUUCAGGGAGACUGUUUAUCAAUCUGACAUCUACUUGGGAUGGUAAGUUUCUGAACGCAUUUGUCCUGUGCUGUUGGAAGCGAAAGUUGCCUCUGCCUCUCGUCUCGUGUUGGUGAACAUCCCCUCCCCGAACCAUUCUGGAUCAAUGGGUUCAGAUCGUUUACGUAAAUAAGAAAAAGAACUGGCUCAAGGAUAAAUCCCUUUGGGAAUUCAUGGUUGAUCUUUACUUUUGAGGAUAAGACACCCCAUAUCUGCACACACGGCUCUCGUACACUAAUCCAAGCCAUUUUAAAGGAAGACUCCGUACACCAAACCUUUCUAACUUGUGCAACAGUGUUUCAUGAUACACACAGUCAAAUGCAUUGAAGAGGUGGAAAAAUACGCUGAGCACGUGAUCACGUCUCUCCAGUCCAUCGACAACAUAUUCUAUGAGGUUAGUUACAGCGUCUACUGAACUCCUUUUUUCUCUGAAUCUAAAUUGGGUCGGGCUGAGAAUAUCAAAACUUUUGAGUUAUACCAGGAAAUGUUUCUCACAAAUUUUGCUCAGUACCGGCAAAAUGGAAAUUGGACGGUAGUUGUUGGUUUGUAAAGGAUCAUCUUUUUUACAUUGAAAUGACUUUUGCAGUUUCAAUUUUGAUGGAAAGAUUCUGGUUUGAAAUGAAAAGUUGAUUGAUUUUGUUAGUGGUGUUAGUAAAUGCCUGAAGCAAUGCUUUAACAUCCACAUUGAAACUCCGUUGAUGUCGCAGGAUUUUUGGAAUUUAGAACUUAUUCACCUACUGGGUUUUCCCUUUUAUAUGCUCUCGAGUCUAAGUUUUCCAAUAAAUAUUGGUGGUUUCAUUGCUUGGGUGGCACUGUUUUCACACAUUUUUGGCUCUCUCUCAGCCGAAUACGUUUAUAAUGGCCAUUGUAUGGUUACAAAAGACGAGAUUGGUCUAUAAGUAGUAAUUCCUACAGCUGGCAACAAAAGAGACAAAACGAUUACGUAACGAUUUUCGCACCAUCCCACGUGACUAGGACUGCUGAUUAUCGUUUUUGCACUGCUGACCUUUAGUAUCUCAUCUUGUUCCUCGAGUCAGUCGUCAAUAUGAAAUCGUUGUUACUUCACGUUUUCGUUACGGUUCUUCUGUUAUCACAUCUUACCUCGGCUGACCUAGACACUGACCUUUCCAGUACAGACGUCUUAUCUAACGUAGAAGUCGACUCAAUUUUGAUAUCUGCUCCUGCCAUCCCAUGCGCAAGCCCGAGCGAAUAUAGGGACUCACGUGGUAGAUGUAGAAAGCUGCUGAUACGGUCUUGAGACAGCAUGAAGAAAGAAUAUCUUCUCCAAUAUCCAUAUCGUAGAAGAUCCUUAGCCAUGUUGAAGAUGUUAGCCACCACAUGAUUCAAAAGUGCAAACUAAUUAUGUCUUUUUAACUGUUUUAUAUUCAUUAAUAAAGUGUUACAUUAUUA